rnacentral:rRNA from 1 species
UCUAGGCCCAUUCCACCCUGAGUAUGCCCUGUCUUGUCUGAUCUCAGAAGCUAAGCAGGGUGGGGCCUGGUUAGCACUAGUU